rfam:Schistosoma mansoni, Puerto Rico, WGS project CABG01000000 data, contig: 0135
AUCCAGCUGACGAGUCCCAAAUAGGACGAAAUACUCGUCCUGGAU